CCUACGGGUGGCAGCAGUGGGGAAUAUUGCACAAUGGGGGAAACCCUGAUGCAGCGACGCCGCGUGAGUGAAGAAGUAUUUCGGUACGUUAAGCUCUAUCAGCAGGGAAGAAAAUGACGGUACCUGUCUAAGUAGCCCCGGCUAACUACGUGCCAGCAUCCGCGGUACUACGUAGGGCGCAAGCGUUAUCCGGAUUUACUGGGUGUAAAGGGAGCGUAGACGGCAGCGCAAGUCUGGAGUGAAAUCCCAUGGCUUAACCAUGGAACUGCUUUGGAAACUGGGCAGCUGGAGUGCAGGAGAGGUAAGCGGAAUGCGUAGUGUAGCGGUGAAAUGCGUAGAUAUUAGGAGGAACACCAGUGGCGAAGGCGGCAUACUGGACUGUAACUGACGUUGAGGCUCGAAAGCGUGGGGAGCGAACAGGAUUAGAUACCCCUGUAGUC
rnacentral:rRNA from 1 species